UACGUAGGGUGCAAGCGUUGUCCGGAAUUAUUGGGCGUAAAGAGCUUGUAGGCGGUUUGUCGCGUCUGCUGUGAAAUUUCGGGGCUCAACCCCGAACUUGCAGUGGGUACGGGCAGACUAGAGUGUGGUAGGGGAGACUGGAAUUCCUGGUGUAGCGGUGAAUGCGCAGAUAUCAGGAAGAACACCAACGGCGAAGGCAGCUCGCUGGGACGGAACUGACGCUGAGGCGCGAAAGCGUGGGAGCGAACAGG
rnacentral:rRNA from 1 species